AAUAUUGCGCAAUGGAGGGAACUCUGACGCAGCGACGCCGCGUGAGCGAUGAAGGUCUUCGGAUCGUAAAGCUCUGUCCUUGGGGAAGAAGGUCUUCGGACUUGACGGUACCUAAGGAGGAAGCCCCGGCUAACUACGUGCCAGCAGCCGCGGUAAUACGUAUGGGGCAAGCGUUGUCCGGAAUUAUUGGGCGUAAAGGGUGCGUAGGCGGUCUUUUAAGUCAAAUGUGAAAGCCAACGGCUUAACCGUGGGACUGCAUUUGAAACUGGAGGGCUUGAGUAUCGGAGAGGGUAGUGGAAUUCCCAGUGUAGCGGUGGAAUGCGUAGAGAUUAGGAGGAACACCAGUGGCGAAGGCGACUUUCUGGACUGUAACUGACGCUGAGGUACGAAAGCGUGGGUAGCGAACA
rnacentral:rRNA from 1 species